CAUCGAGGGAAACCGCUACUUCGAGCACCCCCGUUUCAACGUCUUCUACUCGCGGCGCAUCGGCACAGGGGACGUGAACUCCCGGAUUCGCGCAGCCGGCAAGCUGACCGGCAAGACGGACCAGGGCGUCACUGUCGCGGCGCUGUUCGCUUCGACGGACGUGACCGAAGAGGAGCAGGCGCACAAUUUCCUGAAGAGCGGAGAGCAGCGGACGCGUUACCUCGUCGGGCGACUCGGCAAGGAGUUCGCGGACGGUGCGCACCGCGUCAACAUCAUGCAGACGGGCGUGUUCAGGAGUGCCGAGCGCCUGACCUGCGACGAGGACGAAUACCCCUCGCGCGACGCAUGGACCACGGCGAUGGACUUCGACCUCAACUUCCACGACCGCGACUACAACGUGGAGGGGUCCUUCAUAGGGU
rnacentral:rRNA from 1 species